rnacentral:rRNA from 1 species
AGAGUUUGAUCAUGGCUCAGAAUGAACGCUGGCGGCGUGCCUAAGACAUGCAAGUCGUACGUGAAAGUUAGCAAUAAUGAGUAAAGUGGCGCACGGGUGAGUAAUACUUGGGUAAUGUGCCUUUCCGCUGGGGAUAACCGGGCGAAAGCUCGGCUAAUACCGAAUAGUUCAAUCAUUAGCUUCGGCGAGGAUUGAUAAAGCCGUAAGGCGCGGAAAGAGUGGCCCAAGUCCCAUUAGCUAGUUGGUAGGGUAAUGGCCUACCAAGGCUACGAUGGGUAGCUGGUCUGAGAGGACGAUCAGCCACACUGGUACUGGAACACGGACCAGACUCCUACGGGAGGCAGCAGUUAGGAAUUUUGCGCAAUGGACGAAAGUCUGACGCAGCAACGCCGCGUGAGGGAUGAAGGCCUUCGGGUUGUAAACCUCUUUCGACAGGGAAGAAAUAAAUGACGGUACCUGUAUAAGAAGCACCGGCUAACUCUGUGCCAGCAGCCGCGGUAAUACAGAGGGUGCAAGCGUUAUUCGGAAUUACUGGGCGUAAAGAGCACGUAGGCUGUUUAAUAAGUCCGAUGUGAAAGCCCUGGACCCAAUCCAGGAAGUGCAUCGGAUACUGUUAGACUAGAAUAUAGGAGGGGAGAGUGGAAUUUCUGGUGUAGAGGUGAAAUUCGUAGAUAUCAGAAGGAACAACAGUGGCGAAGGCGACUCUCUGGACUAUUAUUGACGCUGAGGUGCGAAAGCGUGGGGAGCAAACAGGAUUAGAUACCCUAGUAGUCC